GAAAUCCCUCACAACACGAAGCGGCGACGGCGCCACCGCGCCGGCGGGGGGGGGGGGAAAACGAUGUCUCGACGAGCUGUCAGCCCAAGCGCGAGGGGCCCGCGGCGAGGCUGUUCAGGCAGGGGAGCGGCGAAGGUCAGGCCACCGCGCCGCAAGCCCGCAUGCAGCAACCUCGACAGUCUCAAGUCUCAACACUUACUAGGCAUCGUAUGGGGAUUGCAACAACCAAACUGCCAGAGCCCAGAGUUGUCUGCAGAACAUCCUGAUGGAUAUAUUUGUUCUUCUGGAUAUCCCAUACCUCAUGCGCAUAGGCUCUUUCUGCACCUCCUGGAACACCGCAUAUACCAGCCUACGUAGCAUUGGGCAAUAGAAGCAACCCCUGCUGGUGAGAAUGUUGUUUGCCUCCAGAGCCUCACGGGAAAGAUGGCAUACAAGUCAACUUUGUUAGAACCACCCAUCUGCAGAAGUUAUCUGAUUGGGUCCUCGCGUGGGUCGCUUCUGUUGAUGAGCAGUCUGGAAUGCACCCUAUCAAUCCAAUCACAAGUGAGCUUAUAGCUUUCCCAUUGGAGAUUGCCAUGGAGCACGCGAGGCCCAUUUUUUGAUGGUGCAGGUGAAAAUUGUAAAUAUCAUUGCUCAGUUCACAAUAGAUGUUCAGUUUCUGAAUGGCUGCUUAAACCUUGCUCUAAGCAAGCUGCGGUACUAUCUCCAUCAUAAGACAUUUGUGUUUUAUGAUACAUCUGCAUAGAGGUAUAGUGGGGUUUUCAUCCACAAUCCAUUUGGGCAGCUUUCAUUUGCUAGUUUAGGGGGUGAGAACUGGAGCCGGUUGCCAUCUCAAGCACAUUUACAGGAUUGCAGCUACAAGGAUGGCCUAUUAUACGGUGAAAUUAUUGCCAUCAAUCUCUGCAGCACUGUGGUCAGGACUCAUGACAAAGGUAAUUGUGGAUAGGUUACAAUAUCGAUAUGGGAGUAAUAAGGUUUACAUUGUUCAUGCUCCAUAGGGCGAUCUGCUUCGACUCUGGGUAAAAGAAGAGCCAGCUGGACAUGGGCUCCAGUCAUCUUUUGGACCAAACUUGGGUGGAUGAGAACAUAUAAAGUUUGCACCAUGACCCAAAAAGCUAGUGAAGAUAAAUAGCGUGGAUUACAAAAUGUUGUUUUUUGGGAGUAACCAAACACUUUGUUCCUGUGCUGGGACUAGUACCACAUUAACAUUGGAGUCCUCAUCUACAGAAACAAGAGGGCGACCUUGGUCUGUUGCUGAAUGCUGAUCUUCUCGUAUCUCAGAAAAAUGGAUUCGGCACUGAACAGCUAGGUAUACUUGGUAUUCAAGUAUUUGUGAGCGAGAUAAUUAUUCUGUAAUGCAAUAUUGGCAGGUCCGGAACCAUGCAUCAAUUGAUUGAUCCUUUGCAAGCAGAAAUGGAAGCAUGUCUACAUGAAGUUAAAAUGGCAGUAGCCCAUGCUAUGUGAAACAUUCAGCUAGAGACAGAUAGGACUCGGGUAUUCCUUGGUUCCAACUAUUGAAGCUUGGGGUUACGGGUUUGAUGCUCACUACCCACUCCAUUUGGGAAACGAUGACUAUGAUCUGGCGGACACUAUUGUGGACGGGAACUACGGAGGCGGACUUUGAUAAAUGGGAACUACGGAACCACGGGAGCUUUCGUUCAUGAACUUGUUUGGUUUUUUCUGUCAUUAUAGCCAUUGUGAAUGUAAUAGGUUAGCCCAUUUGAUCUGCAUGUUUGAUCUGGUGUUUGCGGGGAUUAUGCUUUCAAAGAAAGCACUCCCAACAUUGAUGCCGAUCAGGCAGCCGGUGGAACUUAAUUUCAUUUUUUUUCAAAGUAAUUAAGUUACUUUUGUACUGAAA